GGAUGAACGCUGGCGGCGUGCCUACUCCAUGCAAGUCGAGCGAACAGACGAGGAGCUUGCUCCUCUGACGUUAGCGGCGGACGGGUGAGUAACACGUGGAUAACCUACCUAUAAGACUGGGAUAACUUCGGGAAACCGGAGCUAAUACCGGAUAAUAUAUUGAACCGCAUGGUUCAAUAGCGAAAGACGGUUUUGCUGUCACUUAUAGAUGGAUCCGAGCCGCAUUAGCUAGUUGGUAAGGUAACGGCUUACCAAGGCAACGAUGCGUAGCCGACCUGAGAGGGUGAUCGGCCACACUGGAACUGAGACACGGUCCCGACUCCUACGGGAGGCAGCAGUAGGGAAUCUUCCGCAAUGGGCGAAAGCCUGACGGAGCAACGCCGCGUGAGUGAUGAAGGUCUUCGGAUCGUAAAACUCUGUUAUUAGGGAAGAACAAAUGUGUAAGUAACUAUGCACGUCUUGACGGUACCUAAUCAGAAAGCCACGGCUAACUACGUG
rnacentral:rRNA from 1 species